CUCAAAGGAAUUGACGGGGGCCCGCACAAGCAGUGGAGCAUGUGGUUUAAUUCGAAGCAACGCGCAGAACCUUACCAGGGCUAGACAAACUAAGAACCCGAAUGAAAGUUUGGGGUGCUCGCAAGAGAACUUAGGUCCAGGUGCUGCAUGGCUGCCGUCAACUCGUGUCGUGAGAUGUUGGGUUAAGUCCCGCAACGAGCGCAACCCUUAUCCUUAGUUGCCAUCAUUUAGUUGGGCACUCAAAGGAGACUGCCGGGGUCAACCCGGAGGAAGGUGGGGAUGACGUCAAGUCCUCAUGGCCCUUAUGUCCUGGGCUACACACGUGCUACAAUGGUCGGUACAAUGCGCUGCGAAGCCGCGAGGUGGAGCGAAUCGCAAAAAGCCGGCCUCAGUACGGAUUGCACUCUGCAACUCGAGUGCAUGAAGUCGGAAUUGCUAGUAAUCGCUGAUCAGCAGGCAGCGGUGAAUACGUUCCCGGGCCUUGUACACACCGCCCGUCACACCAUGGGAGUCGAGUGCUCCAGAAGUGGCCACGCUAACCGCAAGGGAGCAGAA
rnacentral:rRNA from 1 species